rnacentral:rRNA from 1 species
UUUCUAUUUGACCCUGGUAGAAAGUAGAAAUGUGAUUAGUAAAGCUACAUACGGAUAUUAUAUGGUUGGUUAAGUAUGAAUUAAAAAUUUUUAAUUGGUAGUAGUUAGGACUGUUAGUAUAAAGAGAUUUAAUGA